rnacentral:rRNA from 2 species
CUCAGGAUGAACGCUAGCGGCAGGCUUAACACAUGCAAGUCGAGGGGUAUAGUUCUUCGGAACUAGAGACCGGCGCACGGGUGCGUAACGCGUAUGCAAUCUACCUUUUACAGAGGGAUAGCCCAGAGAAAUUUGGAUUAAUACCUCAUAGCAUAGCAGCUUCGCAUGAAGCCACUAUUAAAGUCACAACGGUAAAAGAUGAGCAUGCGUCCCAUUAGCUAGUUGGUAAGGUAACGGCUUACCAAGGCUACGAUGGGUAGGGGUCCUGAGAGGGAGAUCCCCCACACUGGUACUGAGACACGGACCAGACUCCUACGGGAGGCAGCAGUGAGGAAUAUUGGACAAUGGGCGCAAGCCUGAUCCAGCCAUGCCGCGUGCAGGAUGACGGUCCUAUGGAUUGUAAACUGCUUUUAUACGAGAAGAAACACUACUUCGUGAAGUAGCUUGACGGUAUCGUAAGAAUAAGGAUC